rnacentral:rRNA from 1 species
AGAGUUUGAUGCUGGCUCAGGAUGAACGCUGGCGGUAUGCCUAAUACAUGCAAGUCGAGCGAGGUAGCUUGCUACCUAGCGGCGAACGGGUGAGUAACAAGUUGGUAAUCUACCUUUCAGUUGGGGAUACCCAGGCGAAAGCUUGGCUAAUACCGUAAUACGUAAUAGUCUGAAAUGGCUAUUAUAAAAGGCCCUUCGGGGUCGCUGAUUGAUGAGCCUGCUUUUGAUUAGCUAGUUGGUGAGAUAAAAGCCCACCAAGGCGAGGAUCAAUAGCCGACCUGAGAGGGUAAUCGGCCACAAUGGAACUGAGACACGGUCCAUACUCCUACGGGAGGCAGCAGUAGGGAGUCUUCGACAAUGGGGGAAACCCUGAUCGAGCAAUACCGCGUGAGUGAUGAAGGUCUUCGGAUUGUAAAACUCUGUUGUGAGGGAUAAAUGGUUAAGAUAGGAAAUGAUUUUAAUUUGAUAGUACCUUACUAGAAAGCAACGACUAACUUCGUGCCAGCAGUCGCGGUAAUACGAAGGUUACGAGCGUUAUCCGGAAUUAUUGGGCGUAAAGAGUGAGCAGGCGGCUUGCUAAGUUUGAGGUUAAAUCGUUGGGCUUAACCCAAUCUCGCUUCAAAAACUGGCAGGCUAGAGUAUGUGAGAGGUAAGUAGAACUCCAUGUGUAGCGGUGAAAUGCGUAGAUAUAUGGAAGAAUACCAGUGGCGAAGGCGGCUUACCAGCACAAUACUGACGCUCAGUCACGAAAGUAUAGGGAGCAAAUAGGAUUAGAUACCCUAGUAGUCUAUACCGUAAACGAUGAUUACUAAAUGUUCGAGAGAUCGAGCGCUGAAGCUAACGCAUUAAGUAAUCCGCCUGGGAAGUACGAUCGCAAGAUUGAAACUUAAAGCAAUUGACGGGGUCCCGCACAAGCAGUGGAGCAUGUGGUUUAAUUCGACGCUACGCGAAAAACCUUACCAGGUCUUGACAUGUUAGUUAAUAGUGUUGAAAGACAUGAAAGUGUGCUAUCACAGGUGGUGCAUGGUUGUCGUCAGCUCGU